CGACAAUCGGUGCGAAACCAGUGCUUGAGCAGGCGCUAUUAUUCACGGAGAUAGUCUCGGACAAAAUCUCAUUUUAAAGUCGGAUUUAGGAUUUUGAGAAUGGAACAGAUGAGACAAACGUGUGUUUAUCUGCUGAAGAGAGACUUGAGGAAGAAAUGCUGCCAUCACAGGAUUUGUAUCUUUUGUGGUAAGGGGAAAGGGGAAAACAAAGGGAAAACCUGAAACAAAAGAAUAAACGUAAGACCAUUUAGUUACUUCUAACG